rnacentral:rRNA from 1 species
GACGAACGCUGGCGGCGUGCUUAACACAUGCAAGUCGAACGAAGUGGCGAACGGGAGAGUAACGCGUAAUCAACCUGCCCUUCAGAGGGGUACAACAGUUGGAAACGACUGCUAAUACCGCAUACUGAAGGAGGUGAUUGCGUCUGUUUAGCUAGUUGGCGGGGAAACGGCCAACCAAGGCGAUGAUAAGUAGCCGAUCUGAGAGGUUGAACGGCCACAUUGGGACUGAGACACGGCCCAGACUCCUACGGGAGGCAGCAGUAGGGAAUCGUCGGCAAUGGACGAAAGUCUGACGGAGCAACGCCGCGUGAGUGAUGACGGCCUUCGGGUUGUAAAGCUCUGUUGAUCGGGACGCGGUACCGGAAUAGAAAGCCACGGCUAACUACGUGCCAGCAGCCGCGGUAAUUC